rnacentral:rRNA from 1 species
GACGAACGCUGGCGGCGUGCCUAAUACAUGCAAGUAGAACGCACAGGAUGCACCGUAGUUUACUACACCGUAUUCUGUGAGUUGCGAACGGGUGAGUAGCGCGUAGGUAACCUGCCUGGUAGCGGGGGAUAACUAUUGGAAACGAUAGCUAAUACCGCAUAAGAACAUUUACUGCAUGGUAGAUGUUUAAAAGGUGCAAAUGCAUCACUACCAGAUGGACCUGCGUUGUAUUAGCUAGUAGGUGAGGUAACGGCUCACCUAGGCGACGAUACAUAGCCGACCUGAGAGGGUGAUCGGCCACACUGGGACUGAGACACGGCCCAGACUCCUACGGGAGGCAGCAGUAGGGAAUCUUCGGCAAUGGGGGGAACCCUGACCGAGCAACGCCGCGUGAGUGAAGAAGGUUUUCGGAUCGUAAAGCUCUGUUGUUAAGGAAGAACGAGUGUGAGAAUGGAAAGCUCAUACUGUGACGGACUAACCA